rnacentral:rRNA from 1 species
UAGGGAAUAUUAGUUAAUGUGCGAAAGCGCGAACUAGCAACGCCGCGUGUGCGAUGACGGCCUUCGGGUUGUAAAGCACUUUUCUAAGGGACGAGGAAGGACGGUACCUUAGGAAUAAGCAUCGGCUAACUACGUGCCAGCAGCCGCGGUAAAACGUAGGAUGCAAGCGUUAUCCGGAUUUACUGGGCGUAAAGCGCGUGUAGGCGGUUCGGUAAGUUGGAUGUGAAAGCUCCUGGCUUAACUGGGAGAGGUCGUUCAAUACUGCCGAGCUAGAGGAUGGUAGAGGAAGGUGGAAUUCCGAGUGUAGUGGUGAAAUGCGUAGAUAUUCGGAGGAACACCAGUGGCGAAAGCGGCCUUCUGGGCCGUUUCUGACGCUCAGACGCGAAAGCUAGGGUAGCAAACGG